rnacentral:rRNA from 1 species
AUUGAACGCUGGCGGCAGGCCUAACACAUGCAAGUCGAGCGGAUGAAGGGAGCUUGCUCCUGGAUUCAGCGGCGGACGGGUGAGUAAUGCCUAGGAAUCUGCCUGGUAGUGGGGGAUAACGUCCGGAAACGGGCGCUAAUACCGCAUACGUCCUGAGGGAGAAAGUGGGGGAUCUUCGGACCUCACGCUAUCAGAUGAGCCUAGGUCGGAUUAGCUAGUUGGUGGGGUAAAGGCCUACCAAGGCGACGAUCCGUAACUGGUCUGAGAGGAUGAUCAGUCACACUGGAACUGAGACACGGUCCAGGCUCCUACGGGAGGCCGCAGUGGGGAAUAUUGGACAGUGGGCGAAAGCCUGAUCCAGCCAUGCCGCGUGUGUGGAGAAGGUCUUCGGAUUGUAAAGCACUUUAAGUUGGGAGGAAGGGCAGUAAGUUAAUACCUUGCUGUUUUGACGUUACCAGCAGAAUAAGCACCGGCUAACUUCGUG